UCCCAGCACUUAGGAGGCAGAGGUAGGCAGAUCUUUGUGAGUUUGAGGCCAGCCUGGUCUUCAAAGACAGCCAGGGUUGUUAUACAGAGAACCCUCUGUCUUGAAAAACAAACACAAACCAAAACCAAAACCAAAACCAAAAUCAAAACCAAAAUCAAAACCACCCCAAAUCACUGUCAUCAAUCCCGAAGAAACCCUGUACCCAAGGCAAGAGAAAGCAGUGGAGAAAGCAGUCUCCUCAGAGAGGCCUCAGAGUUGAGAAGAUGAACAAGAAAUGGCCCACCAUGGUCACCGGCGACAGAAAUAUUCAGCAGAGACAGGGUGAACACGUGGACCAAGAACCUCUUGAAUGCAGCUGCAGGGAAGGCGGUGAGAUGUCUCGCCAAACAAAGAUGAAAGUUGUUCCCCUCUUGCCCCACAACCCAUCUCCUUUCCCUCCCAGGUCUCUCCCUCCCUUCUCCUUUGUGGUUGCUUUCUUCUCCCUCCCAAGUGGGACUGAGGUGUCCUCAACUUGGGCCCUUCAGCUUGUUUAACUUUUUGAGUUCUGUGGACUUUAUCUUGGGUAUUCUGUACUUUUUCUUUGGCUAAUAUCCACCUAUUAGUGAGUACUUACCAUGCAUGUCCUUUUGGGUCUGAGUCACCUCACUCAGGAUGAUAUUUUCUAGUUUCAUCCAUUUGCCUGCAAAACCCAGGAUAUCCUCGUUCUUAAUAGCUGAGUGGUACUCCAUUGUGUAAAUGAACCACAAUUUCUGUAUCCAUUCUUCUGUUGUGUGUUGUCUGUUCUGUUGUGUUCUCUGGGCUGUUUCCAGUUUCUGGCUGUCACAGAUAAAGCUGCUAUGAACAUAGUGGAGUAUGUGCCCCUGUGGCAUGGUGGGGCAUCUUUUGGGUAUAUUCCCAAGAGUAGUAUUGCUGGAUCUUCAGGUAGAUCUCUCUCCAAUCUUCUGAGGAACCUCAAAAUUGAUUUCCAGAGUGGUCGUACCAGUUUGUAAUCCCACCAGCAUUUCUCUCCACAUCCUCACCAACUUGUGCUGUCACCUGAGGUUUUUAUCUCAGUCAUUCUGACAGGUGUAAAGUGGAAUCUCAGGGUUGUUUUGAUUGCAUUUCUAUGAUCACUAAGGACUUUGAACAUUUCUUUAGGUGCUUCUCAGUCAUUCAAGAUUCCUCUGUUUCGAAUUCUUGGUUUAGUUCUAUACCCUGUUUUUUGAUUGGGUUGUUUGGUUUUCUGGUGGUUAGUUUCUUGAGUUCUUUGUAUAUUUUGGAUAUUAACCCUCUAUUGGAUGUGGUAUUCGUGAAGUUUUUUCCCAAUCUAUAGGUUGGCAAUUUGUCUUAUUGACCAUGUCCUUUGCCUUACAGAACCUUUCCAGUUUCAUGAGGUCCCAUUUAUCAAUUCUUGAUCUUAGAGUGUGAGACAUUGGAGUUCUAUUUAGGAAAUUUCCCCCUGUGCUAAUGAGUUUAAGGGUCUUUCCAACUUUUUCUUCUAUUAAAUUGAAUGUAUCUGAUUUUAUAUUGAGGUCCUUGAUCAACUUGGACUUGAGCUUUGUGCAAGGUGACAAAUAUGGAUCUAUUUUCGUUUUUCUACAUACAGACUGCCAAUUAGACCAGCACCAUUUACUGAAGAUGCUUUCUUUUUUCCAUUGUAUAUUUUUGGCUUCUUUGUCAAAGAUCAAGUGUUCAUAAGUGUGUGGUUUUCUGGGUUUUCAAUUCUAUUCCAUUGAUCCGUCUGUCUGUCUCUGUACCAAUUCCAUGUAGGUUUUUUUUUUAUCUCUAUUGCUCUGUAGUAGAGCUUGAGGUCAGGGAUGGUAAUUCCCCCAGAAGUUCUUUCAUUGUUAAGAAUUGUUUUUGCUAUUCUGUUUUUUUAACCUUUCAGAUGAAUUUGAGAAUUGCUCUUUCCAUAUCUUUGGAGAAUUGUGUAGGGAUUUUGAUGGUGAUUGCACUGAAUCUGUAGAUUGCCUUUGGUAGGAUGGCCAUUUUUACUAUUUUAAUUUGCCAAUCCAUAAGCAUGGGAGAUCUCUCCAUUUUCUGAGAUCUUCUUUGAUUUCUUUCUUGAGAGACUUGAAGUUAUUGUCAUACAGAUCUUUCACUUGUUUGGUUAGGGUUACCCCAAGAUAUUUCAUAUUAUUUGUGGCUAUUGUGAAGGUAGUUGCUUUUCUUUCUCAGCCUGUUUCUCAUUUGUAUAAAGGAAGGCUUUACAGCAUGUAGCGAUAGAUGUCUAUGUCUGUAAGAAAUACUGUUAGGUGCUCUCAGUCUUCCCAAGCUAAGAAUGCUGUCCUUCUCACAGCUCUUCUGUAAAUGAGGCUUGGAGAGAAGAGGUGGUUGGGCCUGCAUGUGCAUGCACAAGCGUGUGUGAGACUGUCUCUGUUUGUUUGUCUCUGUCUCUGUCUGUCUCUGUCUCUGUCUGUCCUCUGUCUCUGUCUGUUUCUCUGUCUCUGUCUCUGUCUCUGUCUCUGUCUCUGUCUCUCUCUGUGCAUGUACUCUCGAGCACAGGACACAAGUCUAUGUACAGGGAAAUCUCCAAGAGCCCAAAUCCUCUUGUCUAUAUGGAUAGAGGAACUAUUGGAAGCUACGUGGGGAAAAAUUCUUGCAGUUAAAUACUUACUGUGGACUAAGUUAAAAAGAGGUGUGAACAUUUUGGGUUAGGGUUGAUUUUGAGGGACUUGCUUCACUGAAGAAAAUACCCCCAAGUUCCCUGUUAUUUUUGCUCAAUUUAUUUUUUUCUCCCUCUUGGUGUUUUUUGAAGGCAGACCAAUUGCCGAGGGUUAGGACCUUGGAUCUAAUAUGUAACAGAUUUGGAUCUGCUUGUCCACUGCUGGAUGCCCCAACUGAAAACCAGCUGCCAUCUCCUAAUGCAUAUUCAUUCACUGCACCUCCUUUUUUUUAUGUCUCCACUUUGCUCUUCAAUGUCCAAAAGAAUGAGAAAAACAUUCUUUGAGAGAGGCGAAAUUGUCUCUCAGACUUUUCCUCCCUGUACCUGGGGAUGCCAGGAGAAUUCAGAAUUGCUCAUUGACUUUGAAGCUUCCUGUGAGUGUAGAGUGUCUUUUCCUGACUACUGUGUGAGGAGGUCUACACUCCGGCAGAAAUCCUAAUGAGCUCUGAGUCACUUCGCUUCCUCACAGGUCACGUGGGAUUUUUCUGGAUUUUACUUUAUUUCAGGUAACAGAUAAUGGGGGUGAUUUGAACUCUUGCCAUUCACAGUAAACAUAGCACCUUACUAAUGUACCUGAUUGGGAAGGUCCAAGAGCUGCUUAAAUCCACAGAGAGGCUAGGAUUUUAUGGGAUGGGAAUUUUAGACAUUUGUAAUUUAAGAGAUAUCUAUAGGUUUGGAGAAAGCAAAUUUUAAAGACUAUGAGAAAAUGUCUAAAAAUGAGUUCAGACCUAGUAAAUUUCAACUUAUUUGUCCGUAUAUAUUUAAAAGUGUAUUUUUCUUAACUCUUGAUAAAUGUGAAAUAAUACACGAUAGGCUAAAUCCAUAUUUUACUUACACGUUGUGAAAGGACAGAUUCAGAGACUCACCACUACACUUUCUAUUAUAGGUGUGUGCACAUGUGUUUGUGUACACACAGGUGGCUGUACAUACGUAUGGGGCCAGAGGUUGACAUCAGGCAUCUUCCUCAGUUAAUUGUUUUGAAAUGGGGUCUCUUAUUGGAAUUGGAGCUUGUUGCUUUGACAAAGCUAGCUCUGAGUUCUAGGAAUCUGCCAUCUCCUCCUGGCCCUGGGGGUAGGCUCAUAGAUGUGAGCCACCACACCCGUCUGUAACAUGGGUGCUGAGAUGUGAAUUCAGGUCCUGUGCUUCUACUUUACCCAUGGAACCAUGUCCCCUAGUCCUGGUCUUCUAGAAGUUUCCUCUUAGUGAAGCUACAGAUAUUAUAUUCUUCCUCGACUUUUAAUUUGGGAUCUGGAACAAAACCAAGUGAAUUUGAAGUACUCUUAGAGAAGUAACACUAGCUCUUCGGGUAACUGUCCAGCAUUGAAUGCGAUGCUUGAGGCCAUCUGGUCUACCAGAUUUCUCAGCUAGAUUUAUGCCCUUGUAUCAGCCACAUGAAAAGCUGGAGAUCUCUGGCUGCCCAAAGGAACUGCUCACAUAUUUAGUCAACCUUUCAGCUCCACCGUGGUCCAAAAGAUUAUAGCUGUUGCUCCUUCCUUGCCUAUAAGGCCACUUGAUCACAGAAGGAAAUUAAUUGGCCUGGCAUGAUUCUUUUUUUGAAAAGUCACGUUGGUUACCACCCAAUACUUUGUGCUUUUGAAGUUGAUGCUAAUUGAUUGAUGUUAAGUUCUAUAUUUUCCCUGAUACUGAAGUGAAUCUGACAGGUCUAUAAUUACCAGGAUUGUCCUUUCUUCCUUUUUAAAAAGAUGAGCACUUCAUUUACCCUUUUUUUCAGUCUUCAGGGACUUUCUUUAUCCUCUUGAGUUCUCAAAAAUUAUCACUAGCAGCUAUGUAAUAACACCUGCCAAUUCCUUAAGCACUCUUAGAAGAAUAUCAUCAGGCCCUGCUGAUUUGCCUAGAGCCGGCUUUUCAAAAUAGCUUUUAACCCUUUACCCUCUCUUCAGCUUGCAUGCUCUGCUGUCAAAGGUUGGCAUUGUUCCGAUAACUGUGUCCCUGGUGAUUUCCUUUAUUCGUUUAAGAACUUAGUGUUUCUCUGUCUUUCCCCCAAUCAUUGCCACGAACUUCUUUUCUAGUCUUGGAGGUGCUGAGUGAGCUCUUGGUGUUGCCAGGUCAGCCUUCCCCAUCAGUAGCGAAGCUCGUCUGUUACUGCCGGUGUCAUCUGUGUACUUUUCUUGUUGAAUACAGAAGAGCUGGGUGCUCAGUAACAGGCAUUUUGUUAAAAUAAAUGUUUGUGGUUCAGACAUUCUUCUAA